GAGAAAGUAUGCAAGAACUGCUAAUUCAUGCCUCCAUGUCCAAUAAACAUGGCUCUCUCA
rnacentral:tRNA from 1 species